AGAAUAGUGACCUUGAAGAAUUAAGAGAAUUGGGGUCCGGCACCUUUGGCACUUUUUACCAUGGAAAAUGGAGGGGACUGAUGUUGCUAUAAAACGAAUCAAUGAGAGGUGUUUUGCUGGGAAACCUUCUAAACAAGAUCGCAAGUGAGAAGAUUUUUAGAAUGAAGCAAUUAAGUUUGCUGAUUUGCACCACCCAAAUGUGGUACUUUUUAUGGUGUCGUGCUUGAUGGGCCUGGGAGAUUUGUGGCCACAGUAACAGAAUAUAUGGCCAAUGGUUCGCUCAAAAAUGCUUUGUUGAAGAAUGAAAAGAGUCUUGAAAAGUGGAAGCGCCUCUUGAUUGCUAUGGAUGCAGCUUUUAGAAUGGAACACCUGCACAGAAAGAAUAUUGUGCACUUUGAUUUGGAAAGUGAUAAUCUACUGGUCAAUCUUCGAGAUCCUCAUCACUCAAUAUGCAAGGUUUGUGUAUUACUGAUAAUAGCAGAAUCAUCAUUGUAGUGCAUUCCAUUUAGUUAAACUCUUGAUUUGAUUUUUAAACAAAACAGGAUGAUAACCAAUUUUUAUAG